rnacentral:rRNA from 1 species
UUGGGAGGAAAACCUACCGGUCAAUACCCGGUAGCUUGACAUUACCUUUAGAAGAAGCACCGGCUAACUCCGUGCCAGCAGCCGCGGUAAUACGGAGGGUGCGAGCGUUAAUCGGAAUUACUGGGCGUAAAGCGUGCGUAGGCGGUUCGUUAAGUCAGAUGUGAAAGCCCUGGGCUCAACCUGGGAACUGCAUUUGAAACUGGCGGACUAGAGUUUAGUAGAGGGGAGUGGAAUUUCAGGUGUAGCGGUGAAAUGCGUAGAUAUCUGAAGGAACACCAGUGGCGAAGGCGACUCCCUGGACUAGAACUGACGCUGAGGUACGAAAGCGUGGGUAGCAAACAGGAUUAGAUACCCUGGUAGUCCACGCCGUAAACGAUGUCGACUAGCCGUUGGUCCUAUUUACAGGAUUAGUGGCGCAGCUAACGCAUUAAGUCGACCGCCUGGGGAGUACGGCCGCAAGGUUAAAACUCAAAUGAAUUGACGGGGGCCCGCACAAGCGGUGGAGCAUGUGGUUUAAUUCGAUGCAACGCGAAAAACCUUA